CGUUAUAACCGGCGAUUUCCGAAUGGGGAAACCCAGUGUGUUUCGACACACUAUCAUUAACUGAAUCCAUAGGUUAAUGAGGCGAACCGGGGGAACUGAAACAUCUAAGUACCCCGAGGAAAAGAAAUCAACCGAGAUUCCCCCAGUAGCGGCGAGCGAACGGGGAGCAGCCCAGAGCCUGAAUCAGUGUGUGUGUUAGUGGAAGCGUCUGGAAAGGCGCGCGAUACAGGGUGACAGCCCCGUACACAAAAAUGCACAUGCUGUGAGCUCGAUGAGUAGGGCGGGACACGUGGUAUCCUGUCUGAAUAUGGGGGGACCAUCCUCCAAGGCUAAAUACUCCUGACUGACCGAUAGUGAACCAGUACCGUGAGGGAAAGGCGAAAAGAACCCCGGCGAGGGGAGUGAAAAAGAACCUGAAACCGUGUACGUACAAGCAGUGGGAGCCUCUUUUAUGGGGUGACUGCGUACCUUUUGUAUAAUGGGUCAGCGACUUAUAUUCUGUAGCAAGGUUAACCGAAUAGGGGAGCCGAAGGGAAACCGAGUCUUAACUGGGCGUUAAGUUGCAGGGUAUAGACCCGAAACCCGGUGAUCUAGCCAUGGGCAGGUUGAAGGUUGGGUAACACUAACUGGAGGACCGAACCGACUAAUGUUGAAAAAUUAGCGGAUGACUUGUGGCUGGGGGUGAAAGGCCAAUCAAACCGGGAGAUAGCUGGUUCUCCCCGAAAGCUAUUUAGGUAGCGCCUCGUGAAUUCAUCUCCGGGGGUAGAGCACUGUUUCGGCAAGGGGGUCAUCCCGACUUACCAACCCGAUGCAAACUGCGAAUACCGGAGAAUGUUAUCACGGGAGACACACGGCGGGUGCUAACGUCCGUCGUGAAGAGGGAAACAACCCAGACCGCCAGCUAAGGUCCCAAAGUCAUGGUUAAGUGGGAAACGAUGUGGGAAGGCCCAGACAGCCAGGAUGUUGGCUUAGAAGCAGCCAUCAUUUAAAGAAAGCGUAAUAGCUCACUGGUCGAGUCGGCCUGCGCGGAAGAUGUAACGGGGCUAAACCAUGCACCGAAGCUGCGGCAGCGACGCUUAUGCGUUGUUGGGUAGGGGAGCGUUCUGUAAGCCUGUGAAGGUGUGCUGUGAGGCAUGCUGGAGGUAUCAGAAGUGCGAAUGCUGACAUAAGUAACGAUAAAGCGGGUGAAAAGCCCGCUCGCCGGAAGACCAAGGGUUCCUGUCCAACGUUAAUCGGGGCAGGGUGAGUCGACCCCUAAGGCGAGGCCGAAAGGCGUAGUCGAUGGGAAACAGGUUAAUAUUCCUGUACUUGGUGUUACUGCGAAGGGGGGACGGAGAAGGCUAUGUUGGCCGGGCGACGGUUGUCCCGGUUUAAGCGUGUAGGCUGGUUUUCCAGGCAAAUCCGGAAAAUCAAGGCUGAGGCGUGAUGACGAGGCACUACGGUGCUGAAGCAACAAAUGCCCUGCUUCCAGGAAAAGCCUCUAAGCAUCAGGUAACAUCAAAUCGUACCCCAAACCGACACAGGUGGUCAGGUAGAGAAUACCAAGGCGCUUGAGAGAACUCGGGUGAAGGAACUAGGCAAAAUGGUGCCGUAACUUCGGGAGAAGGCACGCUGAUAUGUAGGUGAAGCGACUUGCUCGUGGAGCUGAAAUCAGUCGAAGAUACCAGCUGGCUGCAACUGUUUAUUAAAAACACAGCACUGUGCAAACACGAAAGUGGACGUAUACGGUGUGACGCCUGCCCGGUGCCGGAAGGUUAAUUGAUGGGGUCAGCGCAAGCGAAGCUCUUGAUCGAAGCCCCGGUAAACGGCGGCCGUAACUAUAACGGUCCUAAGGUAGCGAAAUUCCUUGUCGGGUAAGUUCCGACCUGCACGAAUGGCGUAAUGAUGGCCAGGCUGUCUCCACCCGAGACUCAGUGAAAUUGAACUCGCUGUGAAGAUGCAGUGUACCCGCGGCAAGACGGAAAGACCCCGUGAACCUUUACUAUAGCUUGACACUGAACAUUGAGCCUUGAUGUGUAGGAUAGGUGGGAGGCUUUGAAGUGUGGACGCCAGUCUGCAUGGAGCCGACCUUGAAAUACCACCCUUUAAUGUUUGAUGUUCUAACGUUGACCCGUAAUCCGGGUUGCGGACAGUGUCUGGUGGGUAGUUUGACUGGGGCGGUCUCCUCCUAAAGAGUAACGGAGGAGCACGAAGGUUGGCUAAUCCUGGUCGGACAUCAGGAGGUUAGUGCAAUGGCAUAAGCCAGCUUGACUGCGAGCGUGACGGCGCGAGCAGGUGCGAAAGCAGGUCAUAGUGAUCCGGUGGUUCUGAAUGGAAGGGCCAUCGCUCAACGGAUAAAAGGUACUCCGGGGAUAACAGGCUGAUACCGCCCAAGAGUUCAUAUCGACGGCGGUGUUUGGCACCUCGAUGUCGGCUCAUCACAUCCUGGGGCUGAAGUAGGUCCCAAGGGUAUGGCUGUUCGCCAUUUAAAGUGGUACGCGAGCUGGGUUUAGAACGUCGUGAGACAGUUCGGUCCCUAUCUGCCGUGGGCGCUGGAGAACUGAGGGGGGCUGCUCCUAGUACGAGAGGACCGGAGUGGACGCAUCACUGGUGUUCGGGUUGUCAUGCCAAUGGCACUGCCCGGUAGCUAAAUGCGGAAGAGAUAAGUGCUGAAAGCAUCUAAGCACGAAACUUGCCCCGAGAUGAGUUCUCCCUGACUCCUUGAGAGUCCUGAAGGAACGUUGAAGACGACGACGUUGAUAGGCCGGGUGUGUAAGCGCAGCGAUGCGUUGAGCUAACCGGUACUAAUGAACCGUGAGGCUUAACCUUACAACGCCGAAGGUGUUU
rnacentral:rRNA from 1 species